UUUCAUUAUAUAAAAUGGUUUCGACACAACAAACUUACUUACAACUGAACAAUUCCCAUUGACUAAAAAAAUUACAAUUGUUUUCAAAUACAUAAAUUCUAUUGCGACAACAACAUUGCAAUAAGGAAGGGAGAAUACACAACAUCCUUAAAUAAAAUCCUAAGCCGAUCAUUAAUCUAAUUCAGGAUGACUAGUCAUUGAGGAUCCACAAGUGGCAUCAAGCCUCACUGCUUUCGAUUAACAAUCCAAAAUCAUUGCUCUGUCACGUCUUCGACGUCGUUGCAAUUUCAGCACAACUCAAAAGUUUAAGAACCUCGGGUGUAAGUCCAGCCCACAAUAAUAGUAGAGGGACACUAUCUAAAAACAACAUACAUACGAAAAUACAAACCACGAAACCAUAACAUGAAAUGACAUCAAGUGAUAAACAAACAUGCAUAUAAAUAUCGUCAUACAACUAACAUGCCUCAUGUGACAAAACACCCUAAUGCAAUGCUUAUAUGCCACUACACAUGAUUUUGAAAUUUCCACACCCUCCUCGAGAGGCGUAAAUCAUAAAUGUAACGUCUCUCACAAACCAGUACUAAUUACUGAGGUGCCACCUAUCACAGAUCAACACGAUUUACUAGAGUGCAGUCUAUCACAGACCUACACGAGGCAAAAAAUCCCCGUAAGGAUAAGAUGAACCAACAAAUCACAUGACAUCAUCUCGUGGCCCAUCACGGUCACCAGUAUCACCAUGGCACCAUCGCGUCCAAAAUCCUCAGAAGGAUAAGGUGGACCAAUCAACUCAAGGAACCACCACUUGACCCAUCAUGGUCACCACUAACAUUGUGACCCAUCACAGUCACCACUAACACUGUAGCUCAUCACGGUCACCACUAACUAUGAAAUACAUGAGCAUACUUUGACUCUUUCACAUCAAUCAUUAUGUAAAUGCAACAAUUAAAAGACUCCCCUUUUAAUACUUAUUAAACACUUAUAAUUUUUAAUACUUUUUCACAAAGCAUACUUAAGACAUAUUCUCUUCAAUAAAAUUCAUAACACAUAUGUUAUAAGUUAUGAAUACAUAAUCACACAAAAUACAUAAACAAUCGUGUGCACCUUUAUUCACCACAACCACAAAGAACAUGUAUACAAACACACUCUGCAUUUAAGCAUAUAUAAUAUUGUUAGAAAUUGCUCUUACCUCGACAGUGCUUUAUUAUACAAGCAACUUACGCUACACCAACAUAACAUAUCCGACAAUUCCAACGACACCUCUCAAUUUCUUUGUACCUUAAACCAAUUAAAAAAAUUACAUCACUUUGAUCUCCAAACACCUAACAUCUAGUUGCCAUUUUAAUUAAAAAAUCAUAACCAAACACAAGUGCAAAAGUCUUAACUUUAUUAACUUAAACUCUAAUAAAAUGUCUAUUGUCAGUUCAAACUCAUUUAUUUGAAAACAACUCAUUAUAUAACUCAAACACCUCCAAAGAUAAAAAAAAAAUUCACAUUACAACACACAUAGAUUUUAACCUCGUCAAAUAAAUUUGCGGUUUUGAUUUCUUUUCUUGCUCAUUAAACACUUUACCUCAUCAAUUUCAUAUUAGUUAAAACUUUUAAGUAAAAUCAACAAAAUAUCCCUCCUCUAUGUCUUAGAGUUCACGGUUUCAAGAGAUAAGGUUUUUCUUUUCUUUCUAAAUGAUAAAAAUAACAACAAAAGAGUAAGAUUAAAGCACUAACACAAAAAUAAUAAUAAUAAUAAUAAUAAUAAUAAUAAUAAUAAUAAUAAUAAUAAUAAUAAUAAUAAUAAUAAUAAAUAAACACACUCAAAAAGCCUAUGGAAAAAAUAGAAAAAUUAGAGGAAAAUGUAAAACUCACCACUUCAAACAUAUUAUUAGAUUCUUCUAAUACUCCUCAAUUUUUUACUAGAGAGUUUCAUCAAGAUUUCACUAGCUCCGUAUUUUUCGAUCUUCCUCACAAAGUUUCCAAGUAUAAACACAAGUUUUCUUUUUGUCAUUUCACAAGAAUGGAUAAAAAAAAUGUGAAGAGAAAGACAGAGGAGGAAAGCAGAUUGAGG
rnacentral:lncRNA from 1 species